rnacentral:rRNA from 1 species
AACGAGAACGGAUUAUAGCUUGCUAUAAUUGUCAGCUAAGUGGCGCACGGGUGAGUAAUGUAUAGGUAAUAUGCCUCUUACUAAGGGAUAACAAUUGGAAACGAUUGCUAAUACCUUAUAUUCCUUUUUAUCAAAAGAUAAAAAGGGAAAGAUUUAUUGGUAAGAGAUUAGCCUGUAUUGUAUCAGUUAGUUGGUGGGGUAAUGGCCUACCAAGACGAUGACGCAUAACUGGUUUGAGAGGAUGAUCAGUCACACUGGAACUGAGACACGGUCCAGACUCCUACGGGAGGCAGCAGUGGGGAAUAUUGCACAAUGGACGAAAGUCUGAUGCAGCAACGCCGCGUGGAGGAUGACACAUUUCGGUGCGUAAACUCCUUUUAUAUAAGAAGAUAAUGACGGUAUUAUAUGAAUAAGCACCGGCUAACUCCGUGCCAGCAGCCGCGGUAAUACGGAGGGUGCAAGCGUUACUCGGAAUCACUGGGCGUAAAGAGCGUGUAGGCGGAUUGAUAAGUUUGAAGUGAAAUCCUAUAGCUUAACUAUAGAACUGCUUUGAAAACUGUUAAUCUAGAAUGUGGGAGAGGUAGAUGGAAUUUCUGGUGUAGG